AUUGAACGCUGGCGGCAUGCCUUACACAUGCAAGUCGAACGGUAACAGGUCUUCGGAUGCUGACGAGUGGCGAACGGGUGAGUAAUACAUCGGAACGUGCCCGAUCGUGGGGGAUAACGAAGCGAAAGCUUUGCUAAUACCGCAUACGAUCUACGGAUGAAAGCAGGGGACCGCAAGGCCUUGCGCGAACGGAGCGGCCGAUGGCAGAUUAGGUAGUUGGUGGGAUAGAAGCUUACCAAGCCGACGAUCUGUAGCUGGUCUGAGAGGACGACCAGCCACACUGGGACUGAGACACGGCCCAGACUCCUACGGGAGGCAGCAGUGGGGAAUUUUGGACAAUGGGCGAAAGCCUGAUCCAGCCAUGCCGCGUGCAGGAUGAAGGCCUUCGGGUUGUAAACUGCUUUUGUACGGAACGAAAAGACUCCGGUUAAUACCUGGGGUCCAUGACGGUACCGUAAGAAUAAGCACCGGCUAACUACGUGCCAGCCGCCGCCGUAACAC
rnacentral:rRNA from 1 species